ACCUGCGGAAGGAUCAUUACAGAGUUCAUGCCCUUACGGGUAGAUCUCCCACCCUUGAAUAACAUACCUUUGUUGCUUUGGCAGGCCGCACUCGUGCCAGAGGCUUCGGCUUCUGAGUGCCUGCCGGAGGACCACAACUCUUGUUUUUAGUGAUGUCUGAGUACUAUAUAAUAGUUAAAACUUUCAACAACGGAUCUCUUGGUUCUGGCAUCGAUGAAGAACGCAGCGAAAUGCGAUAAGUAAUGUGAAUUGCAGAAUUCAGUGAAUCAUCGAAUCUUUGAACGCACAUUGCGCCCUUUGGUAUUCCGAAGGGCAUGCCUGUUCGAGCGUCAUUAUAACCACUCAAGCCUACGCUUGGUAUUGGAGUUCGCGACCAGCGGCUCUUAAAAUCAGUGGCGGUGCUUGUAAGCUCUACGCGUAGUAAUUCUCUCGCGACGGAACCUUACGAGUUGCUUGCCAAAACCCAAAUAUUUUAUCAGGUUGACCUCGGAUCAGGUAGGGAUACCCGCUGAACUUAAGCAUAUCAAAAGCCGGAGGAA
rnacentral:misc_RNA from 1 species